UUUCUCACAUUUGCAAUGAUCUGGUGUACUGAGAACACAUGUUCUAGAUUAGCUGAACACUUUCUGUCUCUUUCCAGUUGAAACGUGCAGCACAGCCACCUUGAAACUUUGAUGAAGGAUCAGAACGAUACAGACAACACAUCCUAAAAGACAAGACCAGAAAAACCAUUUUAAACCAGUUGCAGGACAAGCUGGCCAUCACUGGUGUCAUCACUGUUUUACAGUAAAUAUAUUUAAAAACUGAAAUCAGGAGAUGACAUAUUAAUACACAAAGUGGAAAUCAAAGCUUUCUCUGAACAAGUUUCAGAUUGCACCCUUUGGAUUGCUGAAAAAAAAAAAAAAUCAGAAUGAGGAUUAUUCUUGUGUUACAGGUAAGUGUAAUAUAAAAGAUAUUUGAGGCAGCACAAAACUGGUCGUAACAGAUUUUUCUUUGUUUCUUGAUAUGUUUUUUGAUAAUUUCUUGAUGUGAUAAUUGUGGUAAAAUCUAACAUUGUAAAAUCAUUAUACCAGUUUGUGCCACUUUUUUAUAGGAAUUUUAUAGGGAUAUACUGUAUUUUGGCUUCCUAACACUGAUAUAACCUUGUUUCUUAAAGCUUAUACACACACAUAAAAUAUAAUUUUUGUUCUGCAGUGUUCACUGUGUGCAUAUUAAUUAAUCAAUGAUUUCCUUAUUCUUACAGAUAUGAAAAGUAAUUUGUAUGUUCUUCAUUUAAAGGAAUUGGCACCAUAUACAGAUCUUGUGAACCAGAAUACAGACUUUAAGAGACAGAAGCAGCCAAAAGUCAAGUCACCUUUAUUUAUAUAGCACUUCCUACAAUACUGAUUGUUUCAAAACAGCUUUACUGUGUUAAAACAGAAAACUGUGUCAAUAAUGCAAGAGGUCAAUAGUAAUCAGGAAGCAACAUCAAAUCCUCCCUCAAAAACAUCUAAAAAACGAGAUCUUCUAAAGGAAGUACAUAAAUUUCUAUCUGAAUCUGAAGUUUUCAGCUCUUUUCCAUUGAGCCUUUUGUUACUUGGAUUGGAGGAGUUGAUUGAAAAGGAAUUUUUUAUAUGCCCGUGUCGAUCUGAUCUGAAUAAACUGGUAACAUCGUUAAUUUUAAUUGGACCUGCACUUUUUAUGUUUGCUUUAAUGUAUCUCCUUUUAAGACCUUUUAGACGUAGGUGUUGCUGUGCGAGUAAGUGUAUCGAGAAGACCGAGAAGAACAAGAAUGAAAAGAACUGUUUCAAUGCUUUUUUAUCUUGUCUGAUUCCACCUGUAAUGUGGAUCAUCUUAUUUUUACUUGAUGGUGAUUAUGUUGCUUGUGGAAUGACAGACUGGAAUGGAGUUUAUAAGUUUAAUAAUCAGCUUAACCGGUGUUGGUGUAAACCUACUGAAGACACUCGAAAUGAAAUGGUUCUGCAAGAUCUGAUGCACAAAUAUAUUCAUUGGUCUCAGUUAUCAGGUUAUGUCAUGAUCUCUAUCGUCAGCGUACUGGUGAUUGUCUUCGUGGGUAUUUGUGACUGCUGCUGGAAACUGUUUUGCAAACCUCAAAAACAGAGUGAAGACAGAGUCUGUAUAACUUAAUGCUUCAGGCAAUGUCCCCUCCACUCCAACUGUAAAUUAAAAAAAAAAAAGCACACACACAUAUAUAUAUAUAUA